AAAGUCACGCAGGGGAGUCCCGCCUAUGGGACUGAGAGGCUGACAGGGUGAAAACCCGGUGACGCGACCCUUUGAACCUGACCCAGUUGACACUGGCGUAGGAAGCAAAAGGUUGUCGCAG
rnacentral:ncRNA from 1 species